AACGAACGCUGGCGGCAGGCCUAACACAUGCAAGUCGAACGAGAUGCUUGUCUUCGGAUGAGUAUUCUAGUGGCGGACGGGUGCGUAACACGUGGGAAUCUACCUUAUAGUGGGGGAUAACUUCUGGAAACGGGAGCUAAUACCCCAUACGCCCUUCGGGGGAAAGACUUGUUGCUAUAAGAUGAGCCCGCGGUGGAUUAGAUAGUUGGUGAGGUAAAGGCUCACCAAGUCUACGAUCUAUAGCUGGUCUGAGAGGAUGACCAGCCACACUGGGACUGAGACACGGCCCAG
rnacentral:rRNA from 1 species